GACGUAGGGGGCGAGCGUUGUCCGGAUUUAUUGGGCGUAAAGCGUGCGUAGGCGGCUGCGCAAGUCGGGUGUGAAACCCCGGGGCUCAACCCCGGAACUGCAUCCGAUACUGCGUGGCUAGAGGUAGGUAGGGAGAUCGGAAUUCCUGGUGUAGCGGUGAAAUGCGCAGAUAUCAGGAGGAACACCGGUGGCGAAGGCGGAUCUCUGGGCCUUACCUGACGCUCAGGCACGAAAGCUAGGGGAGCGAACAGG
rnacentral:rRNA from 1 species